CGCCAGCAGCCGCGGUAAUACGUAGGGGGCGAGCGUUAUCCGGAAUUACUGGGUGUAAAGGGCGUGUAGGCGGGAAAUUAAGUCUGAUGUGAAAUGCCAAAGCUCAACUUUGGAAUUGCAUCGGAAACUGGUUUUCUAGAGUGCAGGAGAGGAAAGCGGAAUUCUCAGUGUAGCGGUGAAAUGCGUAGAUAUUGAGAGGAACAUCGGUGGCGAAGGCGGCUUUCUGGACUGUAACUGACGCUGAGGCGCGAAAGCGUGGGGAGCAAACAGGAUUAGAUACCCUGGUAGUCCACGCCGUAAACGAUGGAUACUAGGUGUAGGGGGUAUCGACUCCCUCUGUGCCGUAGUUAACACAAUAAGUAUCCCACCUGGGGAGUACGGCCGCAAGGUUGAAACUUAAAGGAAUUGGCGGGGGAC
rnacentral:rRNA from 1 species